rnacentral:rRNA from 1 species
CCUGGUGGUUCUGGCGGGGGUUCCCCACCCGAUCCCAUUCCGAACUCGGUCGUUAAGUCCCCCAGCGCUGAUGGUACUGUGUCUUAAGGCACGGGAGAGUAAGUCGCUGCCAGGU